rnacentral:rRNA from 1 species
CCUACGGGAGGCAGCAGUGGGGAAUAUUGCACAAUGGGGGAAACCCUGAUGCAGCGACGCCGCGUGAGUGAAGAAGUAAUUCGUUAUGUAAAGCUCUAUCAGCAGGGAAGAAAAUGACGGUACCUGAGUAAGAAGCCCCGGCUAACUACGUGCCAGCAGCCGCGGUAAUACGUAGGGGGCAAGCGUUAUCCGGAUUUACUGGGUGGAAAGGGAGCGUAGACGGCAGGGCAAGUCUGGAGUGAAAGGCGGGGGCUCAACCCCCGGACUGCUCUGGAAACUGUACGGCUGGAGUGCAGGAGAGGUAAGUGGAAUUCCUAGUGUAGCGGUGAAAUGCGUAGAUAUUAGGAGGAACACCAGUGGCGAAGGCGGCUUACUGGACUGUAACUGACGUUGAGGCUCGAAAGCGUGGGGAGCAAACAGGAUUAGAUACCCCUGUAGUC